AGCACACAUGUAUAGUAGGUUUAUUAAUAUUGUAAAGCCACAGACAGGACACACAGAUAUAAAUAGACCUGGUCUUACUUUCUCGUUUUGCAAACUGAAUUUCCAGAAAAUCUGCAAAACAUGCACAAGGAUACUAUAUCUCAUAAAAAUUACAAUUCGUAUUGCAGCAUAUCACUUAUUUAUAGUAAAUCGCUUCCUCAACAGCAGAAAAGAUUAAUUUUACAAAACUGCAGUGAUUGCAAAAUGUAGAUAUGCAUCUUUUGGGAUAUGCUCGUAGGAAAGAGUGGGGACAUUACCUAUUUCAGUUUACAUGACAAAAUAUCAAACGAUCUACAGUAUUAGUGUAUUUAUAUAUAUAAAAAAAAAA